GAGGGGUGCUAGCGUUAUUCGGAAUCAUUGGGCGUAAAGGGUACGCAGGCGGCAUGUUAAGUCAACCGUUAAAUCUUCCAGCCCAACUGGAAGCUCGCGGUAGAUACUGGUGUGCUAGAGGAUGAGAGAGAGAAGUGGAAUUCUCGGAGUAGCGGUAAAAUGCGUGGAUCUCGAGAGGAACACCAAUGGCGAAGGCAGCUUCUUGGCUCAUUCCUGACGCUCAGGUACGAAAGCGUGGGGGGAGCGAACAGGAUUAGAUACCCUGGUAGUCCACGCUGUAAACGAUGAUCACUAGACGUCAGUUUCGUUUUACGAGAUUGGUGUCGUAGCUAACGCGUUAAGUGAUCCGCCUGGGACUACGGUCGCAAGAUUA
rnacentral:rRNA from 1 species